rnacentral:rRNA from 1 species
UGAGGAAUCUUGCGCAAUGGGCGAAAGCCUGACGCAGCGACGCCGCGUGCGGGAUGAAGGCCUUCGGGUUGUAAACCUCUGUCAGGGGGGAAGCAUCCGGAGUCGGAGAAUACCCGACUCCACUGACGGUACCCCCAACGGAAGCACCGGCUAACCCUGUGCCAGCAGCCGCGGUAAUACAGAGGGUGCGAGCGUUGUUCGGAAUUACUGGGCGUAAAGGGCGCGUAGGCGGUUCGGUAAGUAGGGGGUGAAAUUCCACGGCUCAACCGUGGGACGGCCUUCUAGACUGCCGGACUUGAGCACGGUAGAGGCAGAUGGAAUUCCCGGUGUAGCGGUGGAAUGCGUAGAGAUCGGGAAGAACACCAGUGGCGAAGGCGGUCUGCUGGGCCGUUGCUGACGCUGAGGCGCGACAGCGUGGGGAGCAA